AGUUUUGACGGUACCGUAAGAAUAAGGAUCGGCUAACUCCGUGCCAGCAGCCGCGGUAAUACGGAGGAUCCAAGCGUUAUCCGGAAUCAUUGGGUUUAAAGGGUCCGUAGGCGGUUUUAUAAGUCAGUGGUGAAAUCCGGCAGCUCAACUGUCGAACUGCCAUUGAUACUGUAGAACUUGAAUUAUUGUGAAGUAACUAGAAUAUGUAGUGUAGCGGUGAAAUGCUUAGAUAUUACAUGGAAUACCAAUUGCGAAGGCAGGUUACUAACAAUACAUUGACGCUGAUGGACGAAAGCGUGGGGAGCGAACAGGAUUAGAUACCCUGGUAGUCCACGCCGUAAACGAUGGAUACUAGCUGUUCGGAAGCAAUUCUGAGUGGCUAAGCGAAAGUGAUAAGUAUCCCACCUGGGGAGUACGAACGCAAGUUUGAAACUCAAAGGAAUUGACGGGGGCCCGCACAAGCGGUGGAGCAUGUGGUUUAAUUCGAUGAUACGCGAGGAACCUUACCAGGGCUUAAAUGUAGGAUGACAGGUUUGGAAACAGACUUUUCUUCGGACAUUCUACAAGGUGCUGCAUGGUUGUCGUCAGCUCGUGCCGUGAGGUGUCAGGUUAAGUCCUAUAACGAGCGCAACCCCUGUUGUUAGUUGCCAGCGAGUAAUGUCGGGAACUCUAGCAAGACUGCCGGUGCAAACCGUGAGGAAGGUGGGGAUGACGUCAAAUCAUCACGGCCCUUACGUCCUGGGCUACACACGUGCUACAAUGGCCGGUACAGAGAGCAGCCACCUGGUGACAGGGAGCGAAUCUAUAAAGCCGGUCACAGUUCGGAUUGGAGUCUGCAACCCGACUCCAUGAAGCUGGAAUCGCUAGUAAUCGGAUAUCAGCCAUGAUCCGGUGAAUACGUUCCCGGGCCUUGUACACACCGCCCGUCAAGCCAUGGAAGCUGGGGGUACCUGAAGUCGGUGACCGCAAGGAGCUGCCUAGGGUAAAC
rnacentral:rRNA from 1 species